rnacentral:lncRNA from 1 species
UGGGUAUGGUUUGGCUUGCAAAAAUUGUCAAACAGGUCAAAAUAUUGUGGUGCUUUUAUAGAUGAUGAUCUUAUCAAAAUAUUUUAUGGAAAAUCAAUUGCUCUUUAAAUGUAAGUCAAAAAGCCUUUUAGUACACUUGGGGUUGGACUGCUUGAACCAACACACCUUGAACCGAAUGGAUCGUCCAUCCGGUUCCAUGCGAACUGGUUAACUAUUGUUUGACCAAAUACAUGUUAGGCCCUCCACACCAUUGGCCCAAGCUCCUUCCUUGCAAGCCCACAAUACCCUUUGCAACCUCCUAAGGAUGUGUAGGAUAUUUAUACAUCCCAUGAAAUCUCUUAAA